rnacentral:rRNA from 1 species
AACGAACGCUGGCGGCAGGCCUAACACAUGCAAGUCGAGCGCGCCCUUCGGGGUGAGCGGCGGACGGGUUAGUAACGCGUGGGAACGUACCUUUCGGUAAGGAAUAGCCUCUGGAAACGGAGAGUAAUACCUUAUACGCCCUUUGGGGAAAGAUUUAUCGCCGAGGGAUCGGCCCGCGUUAGAUUAGAUAGUUGGUGGGGUAACGGCCUACCAAGUCUACGAUCUAUAGCUGGUUUUAGAGGAUGAUCAGCAACACUGGGACUGAGACACGGCCCAGACUCCUACGGGAGGCAGCAGUGGGGAAUCUUGGACAAUGGGCGCAAGCCUGAUCCAGCCAUGCCGCGUGAGUGAUGAAGGCCUUAGGGUCGUAAAGCUCUUUCGCCAGGGAUGAUAAUGACAGUACCUGGUAAAGAAACCCCGGCUAACCCGUGGCCAGCCGCCGCGGUAAU